AGACGUAGGGGGCGAGCGUUGUCCGGAAUUACUGGGCGUAAAGGGCACGUAGGUGGGUGCUUAAGUCAGGUGUGAAAGACCGCAGCUUAACUGCGGGAUUGCACUUGAAACUAAGUAUCUUGAGGGCAGGAGAGGACAGUAGAAUUCCUGGUGUAGCGGUGAAAUGCGUAGAAAUCAGGAGGAAUACCGGUGGCGAAGGCGACUGUCUGGACUGACCCUGACACUGAGGUGCGAAAGCGUGGGUAGCAAACAGGAUUAGAUACCCUGGUAGUCCACGCUGUAAACGAUGGAUACUAGGUGUAGGAGGUAUCGACCCCUUCUGUGCCGGAGCUAACGCAAUAAGUAUCCCGCCUGGGGAGUACGGUCGCAAGGCUGAA
rnacentral:rRNA from 1 species